rnacentral:rRNA from 1 species
AUGGGAAGACCACGGAAGACGAAGGCGAAGGCCGGCGGCGCCGAGGCCCCCUCCCCCGUCCUCUGCAUCGGCAACUGCAAGGUGGAGAUCCAUGGGAGCGGCCUAAGGUGCGUGUCCACGGAGCAGAAUCUCACCAUUUCGGGGACCAGGGGCGCAAAGAUCGUAAUCGCUGUCGAUGGAGCCAGGAGUUCUUCGGAUGGGACUGGUGAGGGUGCUGAUUUCAUCCUUCUGAACCCGAAUGAGGCUGAUAGCCUAAAAAAAUCUUUGCUCCAGGAAGUUCUGAGGCUUUAUAAGAAGGAACUUCCAACUAUGGACUAUGCUGCUGACACUGGGAGAAAAUCAGGAUUUCUCGAAAAAUGCAUAAUGAAUGGGAAGUACAAGACUCUAAUUCUGAGGUCUAGUUCACUUGAUGGGCCUGAAGAGAUCAUAGCUGCUGUAUCAUAUCAGAUAGUGCCAGCUGACACACAAUAUGCUGAAAUACCCCUGGCAGCCGUGACAUCGCCUUUUCAAUGUGUGGGUUUUGGUCAUAUGUUGUAUAAGGAACUUAGCCAGCGUCUUCACAAUGUUGGUGUUACCAAUAUAUUCUGUUGGGCAGAUAAGGUCUCUGAAGGAUUUUGGCUUAAACAGGGUUUUGUGUCUGUUGGAGAGGUGGAUACUAAAGGUAAGAUUCGCAGAAUUCCAGUAAGGGCUGAUAUCAAGAGAGCAUUAUGCUUUCCAGGCAGUUCAACACUUAUGGUUACACAUAUUAAGAAGGAUUUGCCAACUGCGUCCAAAAAACCAUGCUUUGCAGAAUUGCAAACUUCUCAGCUCCAUGCCGUGGUACCAGAUAGCAUCUCUCCUGAUGAUAUGAAUACUGUCGUUCCCUCCUGUGAAAAGUUGUCUCCCCACACCACUGGAUGCUACAAAGUCAGCAAGACUGCAAAAGUGGUAAGAAAUGAAACUUCUGCUGGUAGUGAAGGAUGCUCAUUAUCUGAUCAACAACCAAAGAAACGGACAUAUGAAUCCUCAUCAUCUUCACUGAAGUCAAAAAGAGUAAGAUGCAGCGGUCACGCUGACCAUACACAAGACAUGAGGCAGAAUGAUAUCUGUGACAAAUCUCUGACCAUAAAUAGCACACCUUUGACUCCUAGUAUGGUAGUCCACGUUGACAACAAAAUAUCAGGAGAUGCUAAGGUCACUACCUGUUCCAAUGGAAGGCCUUCAGUUAUGCUCAUGAAUAUUGCAGAUGAAACAAAGAAGACGCGGCUUACAGAGGUAGUUGAAACGCUUGGGGGAGUUGUUACGUGCGAAGGAAGUUCAUGCACACAUGUCGUUACUGGAAAAGCUAGAAGGACUAUGAACUUUUGUAUUGCUUUGAGCUCUGGGGCCUGGAUAGUUUCUCCAAACUGGCUGAAACAGAGCUUCAAACAAGGGAAAUUUGUAGGUGAAGCAGAACAUGUUCUGGAUGAUGAAGAAUAUAAGAUGAAGUACAAGUCUGAAAUGAGAGAUGCAGUUAUGAGGGCUAAAGAGAGGCCUUGCUUGUUAUUUUCUGGCUACACUUUCUGUUUGACCAAGCACAUCGAACCGUCUCCUGGUGUCCUCUCUCCAGUUAUCAAAUCCUCUGGUGGCAAGAUCAUCAGUAAGCUUGAUGACAUAGAUGAGCCCUCAAAGACAAUCUUCUUGGCAUGUGAAGAAGGCAUGGAGCUUGCAAUGGAUGCAUCAAAAAGAGGCAUAAAGACAUUCAGCAGUGAGUGGCUCAUGACCUGUGUCAUGAGGCAAGAGGUUGAUCUUGAUGCGCCCCCGUUUGCAGAAUCUCUCUGA